CGAUGUUGGUCUCAAACUAUUCCUCAGCACCUCAGGUACCUUCUUCAUCUAUUGUAUGUAAAGAUUCUGCUUCAAAUAUUUGAUUUAAUAUAAAUGGGUUUUAUUUAAUUUUUCAUAUUUUUUUCCUUCAAAAUUCUGGGUUGUGCACAAAUUUUCGUUAGCAGGUCUCAAUCAAAGUUGUGUAUGCUUUGUGCAGAGAGAGAAAGCGGCUGGGAUAUGAGAAAUAAGCGUUUUUACAAAAUCUUAAUAUACCAGUGCGAGUGAAGUGUGUCUGUUUAGUACUAAUAUUUCAGUUCAAGUAAAGUUUACUGCAUUUUUCUACAAAUAGGUACGAUAAUGGUUUAUAGAUUCCCUAUUUAUAUCAUUGGAAUAUAUUUGUUCAAAGUAAUAUUACAAUGAUUUCGAACAAAGCUUAACCAUAAUAGGCAGUAGACAUUAUAUAUCUGCUAAUUUGUUGAAACUAUUGGUGCUCUAUAAAGAGAUAAAAUAUAUGUUACCCACAAAAUAUAAUGUGAAGAUUAUAAACUGUGAAGGGGAUCUCUUACUUCAUUGGAACAGGAACUGACGUAGAACUACGGAUAGAACCCCGGUAUCUACUUAUAUGUUGAGUUACACACUAAAUCUAUAAAUACUUUUUACAGAUAACAUGCAAAUUUCCUUCUUUCAGUCUGUUGUAUGCCUAUGACGUGAUAAACAUAUAAAAAGUUUGCGAAAAUUGAUGGCUCAUGUCAUAACAAAUACUUUUUCAAAUUCUAAGUUUUUAUCCGCUUUCGCUCUUUUUUGUUCAAUGGUUUCAAUUAAUUGCUUUUAGUAUAACAUGCCCAUAUGUUACCGGUUCUAUGUUACCGAGUAUAGCUUGAGGUUAUGAAUGUCCCUGAAAGCACCUUAAUUUUGUGUAUAAUUUAAGUUUUUGCAUUGUGAAGAUGAGCAAGUUGGCAUCUAGGAGUGCAUGUCACGUGAAGAUGAUAUUGGAGGCCUUACAGGUAGAAUCGUUCAGGUCAUUAUUUUGAGGAUUUGAUUUGAUUUGUUUUUUUUUUUUUCUCUUUAUUACUAAGAUUUUUCCUAACCACUUUACAUAUGGGGCUACCAAAAAACAUUGAAUUGGCACCAAAAUGGCCGUAAUUUUCAUUUUACAUAAUUUUUGCAAUCCUUUGUUGAAAUAUGCAGCACAUGGUAGGAGAUAAUUCUUCUUCAUUGUGAACAUUCAGGUAAAUCUGUCUUUCAUGGGUUUUUCUAUUAUUCUUUGCAGUUUUUCCCUGUUGCUUGCCAUUAAUUACCAAAUUAUCUAUGUGAACUAGGUCCAAGUUCAACUACUUAUGGUUUGGCACUAUACUAUAUGAUGAAUUCUCCAAUCGAAGAUACACCCUUGCUACAGAGUUUUAUCAAGGGGGAUGAUUUAUAUGAAAUUCAAGGUUUAACUUCUAACUGAUUCUUCUCUCCUCAGGGUUCAUGGAUUGUUAAGCAAUGUGUGGGAAGAAAGCAUGCCUCAUUGACCAGGCACUUGAAAUCAAUUAUUUCCACGAGAAGAACUAUUUGGAGGUAUAUCAAUUUUUAGCAUGCUUUUAUAUAUGUUCUUUGAUCACCCUACUUUGUGGACAGCUUAUUGACACUUCACUGAAAUUCAAGGCCUUCUGUUUUCGGGUUCAAUUUGUUAGAGUAUAUAGAGUUAAGGUGAUUCCAAGUGUCACAUGAUUUGUCUAUAUAUUUGUGAGGUUCAAUCAAUGUCAUAUGAAGAUGGUAGCAUGUGUUACAAGAUUAAACCAUCUCAGUAUAGUGUCAAGAUGCAGUUAGUGAGUCAGUUAUUUUAGAGGGAUAUAAUCCUCACUCAUUGUGUAGUAUUGUUUUUGGUAAUUAAUUAAUUAUUUUAAAUGCAAUAUCAUGAAUAUUUAUACUCAUUUAUAUAUUUGUAAAGAACAUCAGAACACACGAAUGUAAUAUAUGUACAUAUUAAACACUACUCCUUAACACAUAUAUUUUCUACACUUUCUACAUUUUCAACAAUUUUCUAAACCCCGCAGCAACGCGCGAGUACACUUGCUUGUAUUGGUUCUAUUGCUGUCAUUAAGAGCACAACUGGUAGUGCUUGUUGCCACGUAUGCUUGUAUGCUACCUUCCCAGCUUUUGGUGUAUUCUUUCUUCUUUUUUUUCGGUAACAAGCUUUUGGUGUAUCCAAUUCAACUAUAUUCUUCCGUUGACGACAAGUAUGACAAUAUAUAUGACAUUGUUCCUUGCAUUACAACAACAACA
rnacentral:lncRNA from 1 species